CUUGGAGACCCGAGAGGGCUGCAGGAAGAAAGAGCCUGGACCCUAGGAUCCUCCCUGAAACAGCGGGAUGGCCUGGCACAGGGUGGCAGCGGGGAAAGGAUACGUUCCCAUUGAAGGGGCGAUGGAAAACUGGAAUCAGAGACUGAAGGAGGCGGGGCAUGGGACCCCGGAAGAUGCCUCCCAGACGUUCCAGGCCUGCUUGCCCGGCUCCGGAGGUCUUAGCAGCAUCCUCGGAGGUUGCCAAACACCUGGGAAGGGGGUAGGUGGAGCUUGAAAGGACUCUGGGUCUCUCUUUGGGAAUGCAAAGUCCCCUCAACUCUCCUGGCCCUCCCAUCCGCCCCCCACCCGCGCCAGCGUGUGGUAGCCCCGAGCCUAGCACGCUGAGAUGUGGGAAGGUGU
rnacentral:lncRNA from 1 species